rnacentral:rRNA from 1 species
CAUGAGUGGCGGACGGGUGAGUAACGCGUGGGCAACCUGGCCUGUACAGGGGGAUAACACUUAGAAAUAGGUGCUAAUACCGCACAACGGGGGAAGCCGCAUGGCUUUUCCCUGAAAACUCCGGUGGUACAGGAUGGGCCCGCGUCUGAUUAGCCAGUUGGCAGGGUAACGGCCUACCAAAGCGACGAUCAGUAGCCGGCCUGAGAGGGCGGACGGCCACACUGGGACUGAGACACGGCCCAGACUCCUACGGGAGGCAGCAG